UCUAAUAUUUGGUGUAUAUAAUAUACUUUUUACUCCUUUGAUUAAAAAAAUGUGGAAAUGCAUUCCAUGGCUAAUAGAAACUAGAGAAGAGGCACAGUUAAAUGUCCAGACAUUUCUACUUGUAUCAAUCCAUCCGUUCAUUACAGUUAGGUUUAAUAUUUAACUAGCUUCACCUGAUGCUAUUCUUUUCUGCAAAACAUGAUGUAGUGAUUCAGGUAUUUGGCUGCUUAUUACUGAACUUCGGUACUGUUUAUUGAACAUUCGCAUAGGGUAUUGUAUAAAUUAUAUUCCAUGAAAAUUCAGAUUUUGCAAAUGGUUUUCAGGUUUCCUUAGUUGACUUGCUUGCUGGCAAUUAGAGGAAAUAUAUGUGUUUUAGGAUUAGGUAUACUUUGCAGAUGCACGAGGCAGGACAUUUUCUCUCUUUCAUUUUGACGGUUCUAUUUUUACAUUGGCUAGGAUCUUAUUAUGUCUGCUAUGAUCUUGCCUCAGGGACAUGUUGAUGCUUUCAAGCUGCAAAUAUACUUUUAUGAGCUUGUCUUCUAAUUCUACUGUAGGUCAUGUCAGGGAGUGUGUUACAUCACCAAGAGAUCAUGGAAAUGGUAUUUCAUUAUAUGGAAGGCACCGGUUUUAUUGAUGAGAUCUGAGUUCUUCUUUUGAGUGGAAUGUUUAUCUCACUCACCGGUUGAAGGAUCUUCAUCGGAGUUGAAAAGCAGCUCGUCUAAAGGUAUAAACGUUGUGAUCUCAUGGAGCAUUCUGAGGCUAUCCACGCAAGCCACCUGGCGCGCAAGGUUAGGCACUGCUCGCUUUGUCUUUAGCCAUUGGAUCGACGUGUCACCAUGCGUAUAGGGUGUUUGAGGAAAAUCCAAGCAGUCUACAUGUAUUAAUUUCUUCUUACCGUAUGUUGCCUACUCAAUAAUUCACUGAAAAUUGCCUGCAAUCAAUGAUGACUUGCCCAUAUCAUAUUUGCGUUUCUCAAUUUUGUGACUUUCAUUUGAAAGCUAUCACUAACGAGAUGUUUGAGUACAUGUCUACGAAAGUAAUACGUGUUAAAUUGUUUGAGACACCCAUCAAAUAGUAUUUCUCAGAUUGGAAGCUCAUAUUCAGGUCUCUUGGUUAUUUGAGAAGUAUUAGAUGAUUCCAGUAUCGGUCUUGCCUAUCAAGAGUAGGGUUGUUCUGCUGAUCAAAAGCACGGCCAGCGGGGCAUUUAGGAUGCCAAAAAUUUAUCUCCUGGUAAAUUAUUGCCGAAGUUCGUGGUAGUCGGCCAGGUCCUGGCAGCACCUGGGGACAAGCAUCAACAUCCGUGACCUCACCAACUCCACAUUGUUCUCAGUAUACUUGAUACGACCUGAACUUACAUUUUUUACUUGUUCAACAACUGUCUGGACAUCUGCAUCUGUUAUGGUUUGCCAAAUUUAAUCUCAAUAUCUUCUUAUUUUUGUCUGUGC